GUACAGACUUUUAGAUCUUGACUGAGUUCUGGAGAAGCAGGGGCUGGGACUGGUACAUAGCUACCACACAGGAAGGCCAGAAGUGCCCUUCCUUUGUUUAAAAGAACACCCCAGAGUGGAUUAUAUGCAUCAGUGAGGAUCUCAGACUAUGGCAAACUCAGCUCACCAUUCAAGACAUUUUCUACUCUUGAAAAGAGUACUUCAAAGAGCAUUAUGAAAAGCAAAAACUUGAGAUCCAUCCCUGCCUCAAAUCAAGCUAGGAAAAAAGUGAAGUAGCAUUGAAGAAUCAAACAAGAAACAAAGGUGGUUGCCUUUUGAGGAAACAUCGGCUCCUGCCACAGAGGAAAAAUAAAAUCAAAAACAGAAAUAGGAACAAGAGACACUUGUACAGGGACGUCAACAGGAAAAUGAAAAAUUGUAUAAUCAAGUGAAAGAUCUCCAUGAACAAGAAAAAUGAAGAGUGAAUGUUCAAGGAAAACCAGAGCUUAUUCAGCAAAUUAGCAUCCUGAAAGAAUAUCAAGAAAGAGAAAACAGGCUUAUUGGAAGACCUCAAAAGACUGAAGCAAGACAAGCAAGCUCUUGAAGCAGACUUGGGAAAAACGAAGAAAGAGAGAGACCAAACCAGAGAGCAGGUGCACGCACCACAGGAAGCACGCAGAGCUGGGAUGAGUACUUUAUACUCGUAACUGUGCUGAAC